rnacentral:lncRNA from 1 species
GAAGUCAAACAAUCAUGCAUCAACUUCAAAAAAUGAUAAGUCAGGGAUAACAAAUGAGAAAUGAAUGGGAUCAACACCAUGGCAAAGCUUAAGAUGUCUAGUUAUCACAUGUUAAAUUUCAUGUCCAUCUAAUAAAGUAUGAGAAUUUCACAAAUGAAAUGGCAACAUGUAUCAUCAAAAGUCAACAUUUUGGUCAAACAGGGGAGAAAAUCUCAAACAAUUG